UACAGAGGUGGCAAGCGUUUGUUCGGAAUUACUGGGCGUAAAGGGCGCGUAGGCGGCCUUGUAAGUCCUGUGUGAAAUCCCCCGGCUCAACUGGGGAACUGCACAGGAGACUGCUUGGCUUGAGUUCGGGAGAGGGAAGCGGAAUUCCGGGUGUAGCGGUGAAAUGCGUAGAUAUCCGGAGGAACACCGGUGGCGAAGGCGGCUUCCUGGACCGACACUGACGCUGAGGCGCGAAAGCCAGGGGAGCAAACGGG
rnacentral:rRNA from 1 species